UACGACUAUAUUACGUUGAAACACCGGUUCUCGUACGAUCAUCGAAGUUAAGCAACGCUGAGCCUGGUCAGUACUUAGAUGGAUGAUCACUUGGGAAUACCAGGUGCUGUAAG